AGCUACCUGCUGAGACAGACAAGGAGAGGGUUUCCUGUGAUGGGAUCAGUCAGAUGCCUGCCUGGCCACUCCCCCUGAGGGGACCUGGGCUCCUCUUACCAUUGGCAGGCCGGUAUAAACUUGCGGCUCAGAUCAAGCUAUGCCUGAUGCUGCCUUAAGCCUUAUGAGGUCGCCAAGGAACCGCAGGUGAGGAUUCAGGAGAUAAUUCUGCAAACAGAACUUCCUGAGAACUGAGAUGGGGGAAAUCGCUGGUAUUAGAAGAGUGAAAAGAAACUCCUGGAGGGCAGAGGCAUGCCUGCCAUCUUCAUCAAUGCAUUACCACCACCCAACACUAUCGGGGGACCUGCCCUGAUAAUCAGUCUACAGGUGAAUCCAGCAGCUCCAGAGAGACAGCGACCAGCGAGAAGGGGCCAUGAUGAUGGUGGUGGUUUUGUCAAAACGAAAAGGGGGAUAUGUAGGGAAAAGAAAGAGAGAUCAGACUGUUACUGUGUCUACAUAGAAAGGGAAGACAUAAGAGACUCCAUUUUGAAAAAGACCUGUACUUUCAACCAUUGCUUUGCUGAGAUGUUGUUAAUCUGUAGCUUUGCCCCAGCCACUUUGCCCCAACCACUUUGACCCAAUCUGGAGCUCAUUAAAACAUGUGUUGUAUGAAAUCAAGGUUUAAGACAUGUAGGGCUGUGCAGGACGUGCCUUGUUAACCAAAUGUUUGCAAGCAGUAUACUUGGUAAAAGUCAUCACCAUUCUCUUGUCUCAAUAAACCAGGGACACAAUGCACUGUGGAAAGCCGCAGGGACCUCUGCCGUUGAAAGCUGGGUGUUGUUCAAAGUUUCUCCCCAUGUGAGAGUCUGAAAUAUGGCCUCGUGGGAUGAGAAAGACCUGACGGUCCCCAAGCCCGACACCUGUAAAAGGUCUGUGCUGAGGUGGAUUAGCCAAAGAAGAAAGCCUCUUGCAGUUGAGAGAGAGGAAGGCCGCUGUCUCCUGCCUGCCCCUGGGAACUGAAUGUCGCGGUAUAAAACACGAUUGUACAUUUGUUCAAUUCUGAGAUGGGAGAAAAACCGCCCUAUGGUGGGAGGCGAGACAUGUUUACAGCAAUGCUGCCUUGUUAUUCUUUACUCCACUGAGAUGUUUGGGUGGAGAGAAACAUAAAUCUGGCUUACGUACACGUCCAGUCAUAGUACCUUCCCUUGAACUUCAUUAUGACAUAGAUUCUAUUGCUC
rnacentral:lncRNA from 1 species